rnacentral:rRNA from 1 species
GACAUUCAACUGGAAAGCGAGCUGGACAAGUUUCGAUGGAAACUGCAUCAAAAUGGUAGUUUCUCAGUCAAGUCCUUGUACGAUGCGAUUUCUCAUAUUGAUGUUCCCGUUGAUAACAAAAAAUUGUGGAAGCUAAAUAUACCUCUAAGAGUGAAGAUAUUCAUCUGGUUUUUACACAGGGUCAUCUUAACUAAAGACAAUGUGGCACGACGUAACUAGCAAGGUAGUAAGACAUGUGUCUUUUGCCAACAUGAUGAGUCUAUUAAACACUUAUUUUUUGAGUGCAAAAUCGCUCGUGCAGUUUGCGUCAUACUUCAAGUAGCUUCAAAUCUAAACCCCCACGUAGUGCACGUAACAUGUUCGGCAAUUGGUUGCGGGGUAUUGAUAAACAAUUUUCUGCACGUAUUCUUGUGGGGGCGGCUACCUUAUGCUGGACAAUAUGGCUUACCAGGAAUGAUGUGGUUUUUAGUAAUAAAUAUGGUUCUUCUCCAGUGCAGUUAUUCAUGCAUGUACGCGAUGGCUCCGUACUUGGUCUAUCCUGCAAAAGUCGUAGGACAAAGACAUUUUUAUGAUGGCAUCUACAUGGUUGGAGCAUAUGGCCUGGGAGGUUUUCUCCCUCCAUGGAUGGCGAUGUAA